rnacentral:rRNA from 1 species
GAUGAACGCUAGCUACAGGCUUAACACAUGCAAGUCGAGGGGUAACGAGAGGAAAGCUUGCUUUCCUUGUUGACGACCGGCGCACGGGUGAGUAACGCGUAUCCAACCUGCCCCCAACUAGGGAAUAACCUUGCGAAAGUAAGACUAAUACCCUAUAAUUUCCUCAGAUGUCAUCUGACGAGGAAUAAAGAUUUAUCGGUUGUGGAUGGGGAUGCGUCUGAUUAGCUUGUUGGCGGGGUAACGGCCCACCAAGGCAACGAUCAGUAGGGGUUCUGAGAGGAAGGGCCCCCACAUUGGAACUGAGACACGGUCCAAACUCCUACGGGAGGUAGUAGUGAGGAAUAUUGGUCAAUGGGCGGAAGCCUGAACCAGCCAAGUAGCGUGCAGGAUGACGGCCCUAUGGGUUGUAAACUGCUUUUAUACAGGAAUAAAGUUAGCCACGUGUGGUUAUUUGUAGGUACUGUAUGAAUAAGGACCGGCUAAUUCCGUGCCAGCCGCCGCGGUAA